UUCUUCCUUCAAAUUCGCAUUGUUCUGUUCCUUUUUCUUUUGCUCAAUUCUCUCGAUUCUCAUCUUUAACUUUUUUUCAGCUUAUUACAUUGCGGAUUUGAAAUUUUUGAAUUCUGUUUAUAGUUUUUUUUGUCUUUUCUUGUUCUUGAUUUUGUUUUAUUCAAUUCAAUUUCCCGCGUUGUUGCUAUUGUGUGAAAUGGUGACAAAUAAAUAUCCGAAUCCAUUUUUUUGGAUUCCAAGUGAAAAAUUCACUCUACUGCACUUGUGGAAUCUGAGGAUGAGGUAUAGUUGGGUGUAGUGUUGCAUCUUCAAUAGGAAAACUCCAAAGUUCGAGAUUGUACUUAAAAAGAUGAUUUGCGGCGGCAAGGAGAGUAAUGUAAUUGAAAAAUGUGAUGGAGAUUUUAAUUCAUUGAAUCAGAUGAGUUGAAGAGAUUUUUAAGUUUUUGCUAGUAAAGUAAAAAUUUGAAAUGGCUAUUGCUGGUUUGCACAGUGUGUCUGUGCUUGACUCGUCUUUUUUGAGGGACUCGCAGUCUCAGGCGUCUAGAAGGAGGGGAGAUGGAAGAAGGGGAAGCACCCGGUCGUCUUCACUUUUGCAAAUGUGGCGAGAGAUUGAGGAUGAGCAUGCGGUGAGUCAUGUUCAAGGAAGACCGGGUGAAGUACUACUUGAACAAAGGAACAAUGGGUCGGUUGUGGAUCUUUCACUUGAAGAUACACCUGAUACACCAGAGAUUGAAGAAAGACAUGAUUUAGAAGAUGCAGUUUUGGGUGAGACUGAGUCUGAAACAUGGUCACAGUCGCAAAGUCAGACUGAAUCCCAUGAUGGUCAUGACGAUUUAAACAAUUCUAGCUGCGAAAACUCGUCUGUUUUCGGAGAAAGUGAAAGGGAAAGAGUGAGGCGAAUAUUCAGGGAAUGGAUGAAUAAUGGAUCUAGGGAUCGUGGAUCAAACAUUUCCCCAAGAAGUAACAGUCCAAGGGGAGAAUGGCUUGGAGAAACCGAACAGGAAAGGGUGAGAGUUAUAAGGGAGUGGGUACAAAUGAGCAGCCAGCAGAGAAGUGUUUCUACUGCAGAAAACAUGGAACAACCAUGUGCUGAAAUUGGUACACAAAUCGAACGUGUGCGUGAUGGAUUAGUUGUUAACCACAGUGAGGGCCAAAAUGAACAUAUAAGGAGGGGUAUGCGGAAAUUACGUGGCAAACAGGUUAUGCUUGACAUGCUUAUGAAAGCUGAGAGGGAAAGGCAGAGAGAAAUCCAGGAGUUGCUGGACCAUCAGGCUGUAUCACGUUUUCCCCAUCGCAAUCGCAUUCAGGCAUUGCUUAGAGGCAGAUUCUUGAGAAAUGAUAGAUCUGUUGACCAUAACAGGUCCACAUCUGUAGCAGAAAGUGAAUUAGGUUUAUUGAGGCAAAGACAAACUGUAUCAGGUCUAAGAGAAGGGUUCUUCUCUAGAAUGGACAAUACCAGUUGCAGUCAAGCAACCAGCAACCUAUCCGAUACCUCAUCAAACACUGAUAUUGAUUUUAGUACAAGUGAACAAACUGGAGAAAGCAGUUCAUGUAUGGUCAUUGAACCUAAUAACAGAAGUGAUAAUAGAGUUGGAAUAUCUGGUGGCCAUUGUCUUGAAGGAACUACAUGUGAGAGUUUAGAUUGUCAAGAAUCUACCUCCCAUGCAGAAGGAAAUCGGUUGCAGUGCUUGCAAAUUGAAUCAGUAGAUAGUCAGUCAUCAUCCAGUGUUGGUUAUGAAAGAAGAGAUGAAACUGGGCAAAAUGUUUAUGUGAUGGCAAUCAGAGAUACAGAUAAUGAACUUAUCCAACACAGCUUACAAAUUGGUGUUUCAGACCAUAGUAAUCAUCAGGAAUCCAGCGAGGUACCUAAUGAGCAAUCUGAGCUGGGUGGUGAAAAUGAUUCACCAAAUCACAAUGAUUAUGCGGAGAGCAAUGUUGUCGAUGAUGUUAGUUAUGGACCUGAUGCUCUAGAAGAACUGCCAGAAGAAAUUGUUGAAAAUGAAGGAAUUGGCUGGCAUCAGAAUAACACUGAAUGGAUAAAUAGCACUGAUGAAAAUGCAGAGGAUAAUCAGCUCAGCAAUACAGCAAAUGAGUGGCCUGAAAACAGUUGGGCAAAUGAGGAUGGAGAAAACCCUCGCCUGCAAGAAGCUUCUGAAGUGUGGCAAGAGGACAGUGGCUUCCAAGAGGCCGUGGAAAAUUGGUUGGGAGGACCUUCUAACCAUGAAACUGCUCCAGGUGGUAGAGUUCGUAGUAUUUAUUUUCCUGAUGAUGACAAUGUACACAGUGUUGAACUCAGGGAACUUCAUAGUAGGAGACGUGUCUCUAAUCUUCUCGGAAGUAGUUUCCGUGAGAAUCUUGACCAAUUGAUACAAUCAUAUGUCGAAAGACAAGGUCAUGCUAACACGGAGUGGGAUAUGGAAGAAGCAAGCCCUUUUGCUGCCUCUGUAGAACAGAACCUCGAGCAGCAGAGUAGAGAUCAUAUUGUUGAUCAGGAGGGCACUAUCAAUAGUCCACUUGACUUGCCAUCUUUGCCUAGACCUCCUACUCCGCCUCUAUGGGAUCAGCAUCCUCAUGGUGAUAACUGGCCACAAAAUGAUGAUUUGGAGAUUAUCAAUGACUUGAGACUUGACAUGGCUAGAUUACAGCAAAGGAUGAAUACUAUGCAGAAGAUGCUCGAAGCAUGUAUGGAUAUGCAGCUUGAGCUUCAGCGCUCAAUAAAACAAGAAGUUUCUGCAGCUCUAAAUCGCUCAGCUGGUUCAUCAGGAAUACGUGACUGCGAUUCACCAGAUGAUAUUUCUAAAUGGGAAUGUGUGAGAAAAGGACUUUGCUGUAUUUGCUGCGAUAACAAUAUUGAUUCUUUGUUGUACAGAUGCGGGCACUUGUGCACAUGCUCAACAUGUGCCAAUGAGUUGCUUCAGAAUAGAAGGAAUUGCCCAAUGUGUCAAGCCCCUGUCGUGGAGGUCAUACGUACUUAUUCUAUACUAUAAUAUUGACUUUACAAUAAAGGCCAUACUUAACAAUAUACAGGACUCUAACAAGUUGUAUCUCCUGGUCAUCUCCAGGUGGCUGAAUGGUGUUUUAUACUUAUAAAUCAACCUGUUUCUGUACAUUAUGUAAUGUAAUUGUGGUUUUGUUCCGAAGUGUCGAGAUUCAUGUUUGGUUUGCACACUGCAUAUAUCAAAAUCAAAUUGGUUUGUCUCUGAAGUGGAUGGCUUGCCUGACUGUUAUGGUCAGUAUCACCAGCUGAUUUGUCAUGUAACAUGCAUAUUCUAUUUAGGUUAUGCUGGUUUGUUUAUGGAAGUGUUCUUUGAAUGAUAGAGGUAACUUGAAAUAACAGCAUAUCACAACUAGAAAGAAUCUGAUUUAGUUGGAUCAUCAAAGACUGUUUCGAAUUAUUAUUUUUCCUACCUUUAUAUUAUAAAAACAUUUGCAUGGUUGGAAGUUUUGGUG